GAAAGCCCUGAGUUGGGCUUCCAAGUCACUGUGCCUUGGGCACAAAUCAGUGUGCACAUUGUCAGAAAAUUGGCGAUUGGAAGAGGGAAUUCCCAGUGUUCUGAAGGGAGCCAUCAGCACCUGAACAAAUGAUGGCCAAAAUAGCCAAGCAAGCCCAUGAGUGAUGGGGCCUCAGACCUUCAGCCACCGGUCCCACUGGACAACUAACCAUUUCUUUGGAGGAGCCUCAGCCCCACAGGCCACUGGAGAUGGAGACUGAUCCCACUUAUUCCUAUGAGCCAAUCAGUGACCUCUGGCUCCUGUUCAGAAGAAACAAAAAGGAUGGAUAACAUAAAAUAUGGACUGGCAUUCUACUUUUGGGUAUAAGUUAGAAUCACACGGAGAAUAACUUAUUUGCUGCGUGGGCACAGACUUUAGCCUCCCUGCAUAAUCACGCCAAA
rnacentral:lncRNA from 1 species